rnacentral:rRNA from 1 species
UACGAAGGGGGCUAGCGUUGCUCGGAAUCACUGGGCGUAAAGGGUGCGUAGGCGGGUUAUUAAGUCAGAGGUGAAAUCCUGGAGCUCAACUUCGGAACUGCCUCUGAUACAGCACGUCUUGAGUCCGGAAGAGGUGGGUGGAAUUCCUAGUGUAGAGGUGAAAUUCGUAGAUAUUAGGAAGAACACCGGUGGCGAAGGCGGCCCACUGGUCCGGUACUGACGCUGAGGUGCGAAAGCGUGGGGAGCAAACAGG